CGCAGGCACGGCGCAAGGGCGCGGGAAGGACGUUUCCUUCCGGAGCCCCGUUCUGGCGAUUAACGGACGCGGAGGGUUUUCCGCCCGCCGAGGGGAGCGGUUCUCAGCCGCGGGAGCCGGCCGGAGCCGCUAAGUGGGUCACGCUGCGAUGCGGGCCGGCGGCGCACGGCGCGGGGCAGCCCCGCUCCCAGCACGGCCCCGCGGCAGCGCUCACCCGGCGGCCCCGCAUUAAGAGCCGCGCGGCCGCCUCCGCUGCAGCGCUUUAUCCCCAGCGCCCGCUGUGAACAAAAUUGCCUCGGAUCAGGUGGUGCGAGCCAAUUUUUCUCGCAGCGGGGGCUGCAGGUAAAGCACCUCGGCGCAGGAGAGCUGCGCGGCUCUGAACUUCUCUGCUGCCCGUCUGAACCCCGGGAAGGAGGAGAAGGGAUACUGUGUGCACUCGAGCAGAAUCGGAGAAGAUGCCAAGAGAGGAGAGAAGCAGAUGGAAAAGGCAGAGAAAGCUCAAGAUGAGGAGAGAGCAGGAAGGAAGGAGCAGAGGAAGGAUAAAGCAAGAGGGAGACACAGACGUGGCAGCAGCUAAUCUUCCUGGCUCGUGAACAAAAGGAUUCUUUUCAUGCCAGUAAUCCAAGAGCUGCCAUGCCACGGCUCUCCCAGCUCAUCUGCUGUGAAUGCACUUAUGUGGCGUCCAACUGAACGGGUUAGCAAAAUAAAGACAGAUGGCAAUGGAUUAGCUCUAACA